CUCUACUCGCGAGCGAGAUGCUGCGUGAGUACGGUUGGUUCAGUGGUUAAUCUGAAUGACUGUGCGUAAAUCGCACGCAGGCGGUUGGAUAAGUUAGAUGUGAAAGCCCCGGGCUCAACCUGGGAAUUGCAUUUAAAACUGUCCAGCUAGAGUCGUGUAGAGGGGAGUAGAAUUCCAGGUGUGGCGGUGAAAUGCGUAGAGAUCUGGAGGAAUACCGGUGGCGAAGGCGGCCCCCUGGACAAAGACUGACGCUCAGGUGCGAAAGCGUGGGGAGCAAACAGGAUUAGAUACCCUUGUAGUC
rnacentral:rRNA from 1 species